rnacentral:rRNA from 1 species
AUUGAACGCUGGCGGCAGGCCUAACACAUGCAAGUCGAGCGGAUGAAGGGAGCUUGCUGCUGGAUUCAUCGGCGGACGGGUGAGUAAUGCCUAGGAAUGUGCCUGGGAGUGGGGGAUAACGUCCGGAAACGGGCGCUAAUACCGCAUACGUCCUGAGGGAGAAAGUGGGGGAUCUUCGGACCUCACGCUAUCGGAUGAGCCUAGGUCGGAUUAGCUAGUUGGUGGGGUAAAGGCCUACCAAGGCGACGAUCCGUAACUGGUCUGAGAGGAUGAUCAGUCACACUGGAACUGAGACACGGUCCAGACUCCUACGGGAGGCAGCAGUGGGGAAUAUUGGACAAUGGGCGAAAGCCUGAUGCAGCCAUGCCGCGUGUGUGAAGAAGGUCUUCGGAUUGUAAAGCACUUUAAGUUGGGAGGAAGGGAAGUAAGUUAAUACCUUGCUGUUUUGACGUUACCCACAGAAUAAGCACCGGCUAACUUCGUG